UACGUAGGGGGCGAGCGUUGUCCGGAAUUAUUGGGCGUAAAGAGCGUGUAGGCGGUUCGGUAAGUCUGCCGUGAAAACCUGGGGCUCAACCCCGGGCGUGCGGUGGAUACUGCCGGGCUAGAGGGUGGUAGAGGCGAGUGGAAUUCCCGGUGUAGCGGUGAAAUGCGCAGAUAUCGGGAGGAACACCAGUGGCGAAGGCGACUUCCUGGCCUGUUCUUGACGCUGAGGCGCGAAAGCUAGGGGAGCAAACGGG
rnacentral:rRNA from 1 species